rnacentral:tRNA from 1 species
GAGGGUAGAGCUCAGUGGCAGAGUUCCUGCCUAGCAUACAUGAGGUCCUAGGUUCAAUCCCUGGUACCUCCA